rnacentral:rRNA from 1 species
UGGCGAUGCGUCUUAAGCAUGCAAGUCGAGCGGGCUUAUUCGGGCAACUGGAUAAGUUAGCGGCGAACUGGUGAGUAACACGUAGGUAAUCUGCCGUAGAGUGGGGGAUAACCCAUGGAAACAUGGACUAAUACCGCAUAUACUCUUGCUACAUAAGUAGAGUAGAGGAAAGGAGCAAUCCGCUUUACGAUGAGCCUGCGGCCUAUUAGCCUGUUGGUGGGGUAACGGCCUACCAAAGCUACGAUAGGUAGCCGACCUGAGAGGGUGACCGGCCACAUUGGGACUGAGAUACGGCCCAGACUCCUACGGGAGGCAGCAGCUGAGAAUCUUCCACAAUGGACGAAAGU